UUCAAUAUCUCUCUUUGUUACAAGACUAAACCACCCCACGUUUUUGUUUUUUUCUUUAUUUUUAUUUCUUAUUUUCUUUUAAUUUUUUUUAUAUCAUACUACAUAAUUUAUUAUUAUUAUUAUUAUUAUUAUUAUUAUUAGUAGUAGUAGUAGUAUUAUUUUGAUUAUUAUAUUAUAAUAAUUAUUGUUAUUAUUUACUAUCAUUUUCAUUU
rnacentral:lncRNA from 1 species